UGUAGCCCCGUCACGGUCGCCUAAAUGCGAGGGAUUCAUGACAGAGCAUGUUUAUCAUGCACGUGGUAAAGCCAUACCUGAGCAUGUUUGAUG
rnacentral:sRNA from 1 species